CCCUAACCUAGCCCCUACCCUAGCCUCUACCCUACCCUAGCCCCUACCCUAGCCUGUCCCCUACCCUGUGCCCUACCCUAGCCUAGCCUAGCCCCUACCCUUACUACGUCACUUACCUAGGACACAAAAAAGGCUGGAAUGGACUCUCUUGAAAGCAACUCAUUCAAAGACAACAAAAAAAUGCUUGCUCGCUUUCCUGGUCAUUUCUUGUGAGAGAAUAUUCUGAACUACUUUGAUGUGUUGUGAUCUGAUGACUAGAGACUCCCAUAAACUGUAAUUGUAUAUACAGACAGUGCACUUAAGGAAGUCGCCAUAAAGAAAGAAGGGAUGAAAGAUCAUAUUACAGGAAGGAAUGCCACCCUCACAACCCGACAGAAGAGAGUGAAAACGCCUCCCUCCGCUUUUGACCUCUAAUACCUGUGUGCUUUACAUCUGUAAAGGGAUGUUUUUACCACACCGUACCACCCAGGGUAUUAAAGGGAUGUUUUUACCACACCUUACCGCCCAGGGUAUUAAAGGGAUGUUUUUACCACACCUUACCGCCCAGGGUAUUAAAGGGAUGUUUUUUACCACACCUUACCGCCCAGGGUAUUAAAGGGAUGUUUUUACCACACUUUGCCUCCCAGGGUAUUAAAGGGAUGUUUUUACCACACUUUGCUUCCCAGGGUAUUAAAGGGAUGUUUUUACCACACCGUACCGCCCAGGGUAUUAAAGGGAUGUUUUUACCACACCUUACCGCCCAGGGUAUUAAAGGGAUGUUUUUACCACACCUUACCGCCCAGGGUAUUAAAGGGAUGUUUUUACCACACCUUACCGCCCAGGGUAUUAAAGGGAUGUUUUUACCACACCUUACCGCCCAGGGUAUUAAAGGGAUGUUUUUACCACACCUUACCGCCCAGGGUAUUAAAGGGAUGUUUUUACCACACCUUACCGCCCAGGGUAUUAAAGGGAUGUUUUUACCACACCUUACCGCCCAGGGUAUUAAAGGUAUGUUUUUACCACACUUUGCUUCCCAGGGUAUUAAAGGGAUGUUUUUACCACACCUUACCGCCCAGGGUAUUAAAGGGAUGUUUUUACCACACCGUACCGCCCAGGGUAUUAAAGGGAUGUUUUUACCACACUUUGCUUCCCAGGGGAAAUUAUAAGAGCAACAGCUGUAGCCACAUAACUGCUGGAAUACCUGUGAUACAGACUGCCUGCGCGUGUGUCUGAGAUUAUAACCAUACCAUUGGAUUACCUGGCAAUGACAUACAUACAACACUGGAGUCUGGAGGAGUGAGAUCGUGUGCUGAGGGAGCCCUAGAAAAGAGGAUGAAUAGCCGGCAUUGUCCACUGCCUUCCUGGAAACUAAGGAGACUUAAGAGAUUCAUGCCAUGUCAGUCACGGUACGCCGGGACUCUGAGCCAGAUGCAAUGAAUACCUGCUCAGUGACCGGUGGCGAUUAUGUCUGGGGCUGGAACGACCUGGAACUGAAAGCGCAUUUGUGGCUGCCAGCCUGUCUCCUGGGGCUCCAGGGUUCUCUGGCUGCCGCUCUGAAAUGGAACCCCAGUGUCUAAGCUGGUUUUGGGCCAGACUCCAGCUCUGACUGGGGGGCUGGCUGGAGCCUGGGUGAUUUGGUUUUCUCCGUCUCCAGAGGAGUCUGUCUUCCUACAGUCGGCAGAGGAAAGGAAGAGACUCACCGCAGUGAAAUACACAAAGCUGGGUUGUAUUCAGUAGGCAUCAAAUGGACUGAAACAGGAGAAGACUACCUGAACUUGUCCAAUAAGAAAUGCACAUUUUUCAUAUUAGUUUGCCCUAAUGAACAUGACCCAAUUCUAGUGCCUUUUUCCAUACAGUAGAUCUCGGUUCUGGGUCUAUACUAAAGGCAUGGAAAGUUGGACACUUCCACAUUGUAAAGAAAAGAGAAGUUUGUAGAGAAUUGUAAAUAGAUAUUAUUACACCCAUGAAUUGUGAUGGAAGGAUUCCAUAUCGCUAACCAUAAGCUAGUACUGAGACAUUAGUUGUUUUCCUAGUCUCUUGAGCACCAUAUAACUCUACAGUGUAAUUACAUUUUACUAGUGCAAACUCACAUCUGACCACUCCCAUUCAAAUUCAUUCAUAUUUGUCAUGUUCUGAAUCUGCAGUAAAGGCAUAUUAAUACAUUGCAUUUGGUGUUCCAGCAUUCUAUUACUAUUCUAGUAAUUCUAGAACUAGAUUCUAGUGUUACUUAAUGCACCAGGAUUCUAUUAAUAUUCUAGAAAUUCUAGAACUAUAUUCUAGUGUUACUUAAUGCACCAGGAUUCUGUCUCCUAAUAUGGUUUCAAAGUGCUUUAAAUGCCACUAAUAGCGAUUGAGAGAAAGUGUAACUCAGUAUUGGAUCUUAGGCUGUUAAGCGUCUUAUACAACUGGUUUAUCUUUCCACAAGUGAAGCUACGCCUGCAGUGGGUGUGGAGGGCUCUCUACAAUAGGGCAGACAACAAUAAAAAACCUUUAUAAGUAUCAGUUGCUUUUCAGCCAUGUAGGUGUUUUCACACCGGUUUGCAUUCCUGUCGCUACUGUAGACAGGGGUUAUUGAGGGUUUGUUUAGCUUUCUCUAGAUCCAGUCACUGUUGCCAAUACCUACACAAGUAAGUAGAUAAGUGCAUGAUUGUCAAUGGAACCAGGAACAGACUGAAAAGUGAGGGCAGUUGAGUACAUGUUGUGCUCUGUUCUACAAAGGUAAAAAAAAAAAACAGCUGUUGCAUGUUGGAAACGUUAAUAUCAUGCAGUGUUGAAGAAUGACUGAGGAUCAGAAUGAAUGCACUGUUAUGGUCACAUACUGUCAUGUUAAUGCUACUUGUGAACAUCACUUUGGUUCUGUAGACUCUUAUGAGUCAGUAGGGCAAUAUGGCAUGGGGGCUGGACUAGCAGGGCCCCAAAUGGCCCAGUCAGUAUGGACUAGAGGAUCCCUAAAUGGCCCAGUCAGUAUGGACUAGAGGAGCCCUAAAUGGCCCAGUCAGUAUGGACUAGCAGAGCCCAGUCAGUAUGGACUAGCAGAGCCCCAAAUGGCCCAGUCAGUAUGGACUAGCAGAGCCCCAAAUGGCACAGUCAGUAUAGACUAGCAGAGCCCCAAAUGGCCCAGUCAGUGUGGACUAGCAGAGCCCAGUCAGUAUAGACUAGCAGAGCCCCAAAGUGCCCAGUCAGUAUGGACUAGCGGAGCCCCAAAGGGCCCAGUCAGUAUAGACUAGCAGAGCCCCAAAGGGCCCAGUCAGUAUGGACUAGCGGAGCCCCAAAGGGCCCAGUCAGUAUGGACUAGCGGAGCCCCAAAGGGCCCAGUCAGUAUAGUCAGUAUAGACUAGCCCACUUACUGUUGUUCUUCCAUGUCUUUAUCAUUUUUAAACCUUAUAUAGAUAACUGUCUCUAUGGUUGAGACUUUGUUUCACAUGGUUUCUGUGCUGAUAAUGUAAGAUAGAACAUCAAUAUAAUGGAUUAUUUCUGUCAUUUAAGUAUUUGUAAUAUAGUAAAUGUGUUUUGCUCUCUGUCCUUUCCAUGUUACAAGAUUAUUAAAUACCGUUUUAACAUC